GAUGAACGCUAGCGGGAGGCUUAAUACAUGCAAGUCGAGGGGUAACAGGGGCUUCGGCCCGCUGACGACCGGCGCACGGGUGAGUAACGCGUACGCAACUUACCUCCAAGCGAGGGAUAGCCCUGGGAAACUGGGAUUAAUACCUCAUGUGAUUAUGAUGCCGCAUGGUGUUAUAAUUAAAGUUCAGGCGCUUGGAGAUGGGCGUGCGUCCUAUUAGCUAGUUGGUGAGGUAACGGCUCACCAAGGCGACGAUAGGUAGGGGGCGUGAGAGCGUGGCCCCCCCACACGGGUACUGAGACACGGACCCGACUCCUACGGGAGGCAGGCAGUAAGGAAUAUUGGACAAUGGGCGCAAGCCUGAUCCAGCCAUCCCGCGUGCAGGAUGACAGCCCUACGGGUUGUAAACUG
rnacentral:rRNA from 1 species